rnacentral:rRNA from 1 species
CGCAUCUGUGCAUGCAGCAUAUCAAUAAGCGGAGGAAAAGAAACUAACAAGGAUUCCCCUAGUAACGGCGAGUGAAGCGGGAAGAGCUCAAAUUUGAAAUCUUAAAGGGUUUCCCUUUACGAAUUGUAGUUUAAAGAAGUGUUUUCUGUUGAGGUUUUGGUAAAAGUUCUUUGGAAUAGGACAUCAUAGAGGGUGAGAAUCCCGUAUUUGACCUUUACUUUCAACUUUGUGAUACACUUUCAAAGAGUCGGAUUGUUUGGGAAUGCAGUCCAAAAUGGGUGGUAAAUUUCAUCUAAAGCUAAAUAUUGGCGAGAGACCGAUAGCGAACAAGUACCGUGAGGGAAAGAUGAAAAGAACUUUGAAAAGAGAGUUAAACAGUACGUGAAGUUGUCAAAAGGGAAGCGUUUGACACCAGUGUUGUUUUUCUGAAAAUCAAUUAAAGAACUGUUUAUGCUAAGUUGUUUAGACUUUAUCAGCUAACUGUUUAGUUUUGAGCUUUUCUUUAAUGCACUUUUCAGUUAACAAGUCAACAUCAAUUUCUUUUGCUGUAAAAAAGCUUGAGGAAGGUGGCUUGAGAUUCGUCUUAAGUGUUUAUAGCCUCUUGCCUAUGCAGUCGGAGAGAUUGAGGUCUGCAGCGUAGAUCCUUCGGGGCUAAAUGCAUUUGUGCUAAGUUAUAGCAUUUUAUAGACAACUUGUUGACUAUGAUUUGUCUUGUAGCUUACUCGCUUAUGUUAUUUUACCUACGCUUAGGAUGUUGAACGCGCACAGAGUCUC